ACGGAAGGCAGCAGUGAGGAAUAUUGGUCAAUGGGCGGAAGCCUGAACCAGCCAAGUCGCGUGAAGGAUGAAGGUAUUAUGUAUUGUAAACUUCUUUAGCAGUGGAGUAAUAAGGAGGUCGAGACCUCUGAUGCAAGUACACUGAAAAUAAGGAUCGGCUAACUCCGUGCCAGCAGCCGCGGUAAUACGGAGGAUCCGAGCGUUAUCCGGAUUUAUUGGGUUUAAAGGGUGCGCAGGCGGCCUUGUAAGUCAGCGGUUAAAUCGUGGAGCUCAACUCCAUCCCGCCGUUGAUACUGCAGGGCUUGAUUGCGGUCGAGGUUGGCGGAAUUCGUCGUGUAGCGGUGAAAUGCAUAGAUAUGACGAAGAACCCCGAUUGCGUAGGCAGCUUACCAAGCCGACAAUGACGCUCAUGCACGAAAGUGCGGGGAUCGAACAGGAUUAGAUACCCUGGUA
rnacentral:rRNA from 1 species